ACCCCUGUAGCGUAAUGGAUAGCGCGUUGGACUUUUAAUCCAAAGGUUGUGUGCUCGAAUCCCACCUGGAAUG